GACGAACGCUGGCGGCGUGCCUAAUACAUGCAAGUCGAACGAGUGGCGGACGGGUGGGUAAAACGUGGGAACCUACCCAUAAGAGGGGGAUAAAACUUGGAAACAGGUGCUAAUACCGCAUACUGAUGGAGUGACCCGGGGUGGAUUAGCUAGUUGGUGAGGUAACGGCUCACCAAGUCCACGAGGCAUAGCUGACCUGAGAGGAGGACCGGCCACACUGGAACUGAGACACGGUCCAGACUCCUACGGGAGGCAGCAGUGGGGAAUAUUGCACAAGGGGCGCAAGCCUGAUGCAGCCAUGCCGCGUGUAUGAAGAAGGCCUUCGGGUUGUAAAGCACUUUCAGCGAGGAGGCGUUACUCGCAGAAGAAGCACCGGCUAACUCCGUGCCAGCAGCCGCGGUAAUAC
rnacentral:rRNA from 1 species